rnacentral:rRNA from 1 species
AGUGAACGCUGGCGAUAGGCCUAACACAUGCAAGUCGAACGGCAGCACAGUAAGAGCUUGCUCUUACGGGUGGCGAGUGGCGGACGGGUGAGGAAUACAUCGGAAUCUACUUUUUCGUGGGGGAUAACGUAGGGAAACUUACGCUAAUACCGCAUACGACCUACGGGUGAAAGCAGGGGAUCUUCGGACCUUGCGCGAUUGAAUGAGCCGAUGUCGGAUUAGCUAGUUGGCGGGGUAAAGGCCCACCAAGGCGACGAUCCGUAGCUGGUCUGAGAGGAUGAUCAGCCACACUGGAACUGAGACACGGUCCAGACUCCUACGGGAGGCAGCAGUGGGGAAUAUUGGACAAUGGGCGCAAGCCUGAUCCAGCCAUACCGCGUGGGUGAAGAAGGCCUUCGGGUUGUAAAGCCCUUUUGUUGGGAAAGAAAAGCAGCAGGUUAAGACCCCGCUGUUCUGACGGUACCCAAAGAAUAAGCACCGGCUAACUUCGU